AGGUGCUUGCACCUUAUCUUAGCGGCGGACGGGUGAGUAAUGCUUAGGAAUCUGCCUAUUAGUGGGGGACAACAUUCCGAAAGGAAUGCUAAUACCGCAUACGUCCUACGGGAGAAAGCAGGGGAUCUUCGGACCUUGCGCUAAUAGAUGAGCCUAAGUCGGAUUAGCUAGUUGGUGGGGUAAAGGCCUACCAAGGCGACGAUCUGUAGCGGGUCUGAGAGGAUGAUCCGCCACACUGGGACUGAGACACGGCCCAGACUCCUACGGGAGGCAGCAGUGGGGAAUAUUGGACAAUGGGGGGAACCCUGAUCCAGCCAUGCCGCGUGUGUGAAGAAGGCCUUAUGGUUGUAAAGCACUUUAAGCGAGGAGGAGGCUACUGAGACUAAUACUCUUGGAUAGUGGACGUUACUCGCAGAAUAAGCACCGGCUAACUCUGUGCCAGCAGCCGCGGUAAUACAGAGGGUGCGAGCGUUAAUCGGAUUUACUGGGCGUAAACCGUGCGUAGGCGGCUUUUUAAGUCGGAUGUGAAAUCCCCGAGCUUAACUUGGGAAUUGCAUUCGAUACUGGGAAGCUAGAGUAUGGGAGAGGAUGGUAGAAUUCCAGGUGUAGCGGUGAAAUGCGUAGAGAUCUGGAGGAAUACCGAUGGCGAAGGCAGCCAUCUGGCCUAAUACUGACGCUGAGGUACAAAGCAUGGGGAGCAAACAGGAUUAGAUACCCUGGUAGUCCAUGCCGUA
rnacentral:rRNA from 1 species